rnacentral:rRNA from 1 species
GAUGAACGCUGGCGGCGUGCCUAAUACAUGCAAGUCGAGCGAACGGACGAGAAGCUUGCUUCUCUGAUGUUAGCGGCGGACGGGUGAGUAACACGUGGAUAACCUACCUAUAAGACUGGGAUAACUUCGGGAAACCGGAGCUAAUACCGGAUAAUAUUUUGAACCGCAUGGUUCAAAAGUGAAAGACGGUCUUGCUGUCACUUAUAGAUGGAUCCGCGCUGCAUUAGCUAGUUGGUAAGGUAACGGCUUACCAAGGCAACGAUGCAUAGCCGACCUGAGAGGGUGAUCGGCCACACUGGAACUGAGACACGGUCCAGACUCCUACGGGAGGCAGCAGUAGGGAACCUUCCGCAAUGGGCGAAAGCCUGACGGAGCAACGCCGCGUGAGUGAUGAAGGCCUUCGGAUCGUAAAACUCUGUUAUUAGGGAAGAACAUAUGUGUAAGUAACUGUGCACAUCUUGACGGUACCUAAUCAGAAAGCCACGGCUAACUACGUG